CCGGAUGAGACAUCUGACCGUCAAUUGAUUUUCUAGCAGCAUGCCAAGUCAAACUCUUAGCUGUCUCAUGUGAUCGAAACAUCCUUUUAAACCUUGGAAUUGGAGGAAAAUACCACACCACCUUCACUGGCACACCCUCUUUCAAGAUUGAAUCUUUGCCUUCCUUCCACCUUGAGAUACCACAAGUAGGACAAUUAGUUGAAUCCUCAUACUCCUUCCUAUACAAGAUGCAAUCAUUGGGGCAUACGUGCAUUUUC
rnacentral:lncRNA from 1 species